rnacentral:rRNA from 1 species
CCUACGGGAGGCAGCAGUGGGGAAUAUUGCACAAUGGGGGCAACCCUGAUCCAGCGACGCCGCGUGAGUGAAGAAGUUCUUCGUUAUGUAAAGCUCUUUCAGCAGGGAAGAAACACUGACCUUACGGUCAGCAGUCGGUACCUGCGUAAGAAGCCCCGGCUAACUACGUGCCAGCAGCCGCGGGAAUACGUAGGGGGCAAGCGGUAUCCGGAUGUAUUGGGUUUAAUGGGUGCGCAGGGGGCGGUUCAAGUAAGCGGUCAAAUUGCGGGGCUCAACCCCGUACUGCCGUUGAAACUGCAUCCCUUGAGUGCGCGAGAAGUAUGCGGAAUGCGUGGUGUAGCGGUGAAAUGCAUAGAUAUCACGCAGAACUCCGAUUGCGAAGGCAGCAUACCGGCGCGCAACUGACGCUCAUGCACGAAAGCGUGGGUAUCGAACAGGAUUAGAUACCCCUGUAGUC